rnacentral:lncRNA from 1 species
AUAGUUUACAGAGACUAAUUUACCAUGAAAUUUCCUCAAGCUCCAAUCUCCUUCUUAUGGUAUUUCUGUAUUGAUGCUCACACGUGAUCUUUGGCACAAAAUAAUAUUCUUGGGCUUUGGAUGAUGUCAGGGAGAAAAUUCUAGCUUUAAGAUCAAUCAUACAAAUCCCACUGUAAAAAUUAUUGAUAGUGCAUGCAUGUUGCUUGU